rnacentral:lncRNA from 1 species
CUUGAUUAAAAAAAAAAACCGUGACCACGGCAGACAACGACGACAAAGGUAUUUUGAUAAGGCUUGUUCUCCUCUUUCCAAUGAUAUAAAAUAUAGCCAUGUGUUAUUCCGUUAAAGCAAAUUCGUCAAAUUUGUUGAUUGGGCACCCUACUAAUUGACCAGAAAAACCUAGUUUCUCCCUUUUUUGGCCCCUAAUUCCAAAACAUAUUGAACCAUAACCCCCAAAGUCAUAACUAACCAUCCCUUAAUGUUAUGAAAACUUGUGGUAUAAUUUCAGAGAGAUUCAUCCACUUAAACACAAUUAAUUGUUUGAAAACUACAAAAAUGCUUAAUUCGGCACUUAAUUCCUAAACUAUUGGGACUAUAACCCCCAAAAUCAAUCCCAACUUUCCUUUAGUGCUAUUAAACCGUCUGGUAAAAAUUUAUAGAGAUCCAUUCACUAAAUCCUAAAGUUUAUUGUCCAGAAACUAAAUGCGUCUUCGGACUACGAUGACGACAACAUGAUACCAUUAUACAACGCAAAUUUUUUUUUGCUGUUGUGUAAAAACCUGUUGCAUGCCAGUACUAGUCUUCAUGGUCUUAGAAUCAUUG